UAACACCGUGGGGCCCAGUCUCUCCUGGCUCGGGAAAAUACGUAUACGAGAAAAAUCUUGGAUGCAACAAAAAGAACACCGUGGCCACCCGUGGUGUCCCAGAAGUUGCUCUGAGCUCCUCGCAUCAGGGCAGGUGCUCCACCUCUAACCGCCCUGUGGGGGAACGGGAGGCCCCAAGCCCCUGGGAGUCCUGGUCUCCUCUAGAGUGUGUUGGAAGGACAGCCGCUGGAAAGGCCCCUCAGAGCCCCUAAACCAGCCUCCCCUCCCCCGUGGGCAGAUUGUUCGAGGGUCCUGGAGCCUGAAUGAUGGGCCCUCGGCUUGCC
rnacentral:lncRNA from 1 species